rnacentral:rRNA from 1 species
UACACACCGCCCGUCACACCACGAAAGCCGGCUGUACCAGAAGUCGCCACGCUAACCGCAAGGACGCAGGUGCCGAAGGUAUGGUCGGUGAUUGGGGUG